UCUCCGUAGGUGAACCUGCGGAGGGAUCAUUACAGAGUUCUCGCCCUCGCGGGUAGAUCUCCCACCCACUGUUAUCGUUACUGUGUUGCUUUGGCGGGCCGCCGGGCCCCGCUCGGCCGCCGGCUCCGGCUGGCGCGCGCCCGCCAGAGGCCCAGCAAACUCUGAAUGUUAGUGUCGUCUGAGUACUAUAUAAUAGUUAAAACUUUCAACAACGGAUCUCUUGGUUCU
rnacentral:misc_RNA from 1 species